rnacentral:rRNA from 1 species
UAGCCUGAGAAAUAGCUACCACUUCUACGGAGGGCAGCAGGCGCGCAAAUUGCCCAAUGUCAAAAAAACGAUGAGGCAGCGAAAAGAAAUAGAGCCGACAGUGCAUUUUGUAUUGUCGUUUUCAAUGGGGGAUAUUUAAACCCAUCUAAAAUCGGGUAACAAUUGGAGGACAAGUCUGGUGCCAGCACCCGCGGUAAUUCCAGCUCCAAAAGCGUAUAUUAAUGCUGUUGCUGUUAAAGGGUUCGA